CGGCAGAGGGCUGCUAACAGGAUCUCGCUCCCGAGCUCGGGCUGAGGGGGAGGGCAGGGGAAGGGAAUUGGGAUGUAAUGGCCAUAAUCAGCCCCCGGCCAGUGACCUUCCGCCUCCUCCCAGUGCGUCCCUGGUGCUCACAGGAAGCCAGAACCAGGGGGCUGGAGGCAGGGUGGGCAUCUCCAGUCAGUGACGGACCCCAGAGGUGGCCAAGUGGCUGCUUCCACAGCACUGGGGUGCUUUAAGGCCACCAAAAACCCUUGCCCGUGCCAGCAGCCACCCGUGAGCAAGGAGCUGGUGCUGCCUCGCAGGCAGACACCCACCCCUGCAGCCGCACACGGGGGUUUCCUCCCCCAGCAAAUUGAAACUGUAAAUAUUGAUAGCCUUUUCUUCCAGGGCUUUUUAAUGCCCUCUGAUACUUAGAAACUAUUAAGUGCACCCAUCAUCACUAACCUGCGAAGUAAAUGCGUCCUAAUGGGCAGGCGAGCUGCGCUCGCCCCAACAAAUCAUUUCUAAUGAAUAGCACCUGGCACAUUCAUCACCGUUAAAUGCCAAAGCAAAUCCAUCUGCGUUAGCCGCUGAAAAGAGCCAGGCAGAGCUCGCGCUCCCCUUCUCUCCAAGGUAGGGGAGGGCUUGGCUCGCAGCGUGUACGUGUGGCUGUUUCUAAUCUCUCCCCGUUCCUGCAGCCAGGAUCCUCGAGGCACGCCGCUCAAUAGCCGGGCUGCUCCCGCACACAAUGGCCAGAGGUCUCUCCGAGCGCCGUGGAAGGUUUUAAAUAGAAACCAGCGCCUCUCCCUCACACGCACACAAUGCUUUCCUGACCCUCUCCUGACCUCACCCUCAAAUCUGGGGUUCACAGCCCCAGCCUUGAACCCGGCUCUGUUUUUUCAUGUUUGGCCUCUCUAUUUCCUGAGGUCAGGCAGCCCACCGCUCCAUUAGCAUGAAGCAACUCAGGGCUCAUUUGCCAAAACUGACAUCCUGGGAAAGUCCUGAUGAAUUUAUGAAUUAGAGGCUACAGAUGCCAGUAAAAGAAUUAAGGACUUAUUUAUUUAUUUUUUUUUAUUAUUUGCAGGAAAUCAGCUGGGAUGCUGCUGUUUUCUUUUUUUUUUUUUUCUGAAAAACGCCAUCAGCCUUGAAACUGCAAAGGCUGCGUCAGCAGCAGUUUGCUUUCAGGGAGGAAAAAACACAUUUUUAAGGGCUUGUUGUUUUGUUUUUGAAAGGAAGGGCCGGGGGAAGAAAGUUGAGCGGGUGGACGAGCGCGGGAGCCGGCGCGGCACAGCGGCCCGGCGGGGCGAGGUGCUCUCACCUUUCAGCACGUAGCGCUUGCAACGCUGCAGAGAGAAGAGGUCAUCUCGUGAGCAAUGCGCAGACAAAUAUCCCCCUGGAGUCGUGAGCCGGCGGUUCCUCGGCUGCACACAUCAAAGGGGAGCUGGUGACAUCACGGAGAUCACAGAAAACAUCAAGUCUGGCUGUCUGGGGGAGAAAAAAAUAGCUCCUCGCAGACCCACAGCUGGUGGGUUUUUUAAUUACACCCGGGCCAAGGAACAUUCCAACCAUAACAUCCUGCAGCCCGCCCGCCACCAGACAACACGUCUUUUAUUAGCCCAGGAAUGUAUCUUUAAUAAACUGGAGCUCUUCGGCUCGGCGGAGGGGCUGGAGGUCCCUUUUGGCCUGGCUGUGGGGUCUGCAGCAGGGCAGCGCACCCCUGCCCGUGGCUGCAAGCUAGGGGAGGGCUUUGUGCUGCUACAGGCAGGGCUCACCCUCUGCAGAGACAAGUUUUGGGGACGCAGCGGCAACCUGACAGCAGCAGGAGAGGCACAGAACGUGGCAGGCUGUGGCCAAAGGCAGCCCCGGGCAGGGUUUGUGCUCGUGGUGAGCAUGGAGAUCGUGGUGCCAGCGGCCUCGUGGUCCCCGAUGUGGCUGGGAGCACCUGCAGGGAGCAGCAGCCCAGCAGCACGGGUGUGUGCCACUGCCCGGAGAAAUCCCUCGCUGGGGGUUUGGGGAAAAAAAUGGAAAGAACAGGUCAGGAAGUCCUGCCACAAUGCCGUGGCCAUGCAGCUGCCAGGUCACGCCUGCUUGUUGGACUCGAGCUCUCUCCAAACCCUACAAAAGCUUUUCCUUUGAGCCCCAACCCCAGGCUGAGCAGCACGCUGGGACCCCCACCCUACAGAAAACCUCAGGGGACAGCAAGGGGGUCCCUGUGUGAGCGGUUUGCUGCUGGCCAGCCCUGGAUUUCAGCACCUCCUUGGGCAUCUCACAGCAUCUCUUCCCCCCAGUCCUACCCAAACCCACCCGUGUCCCUGCAAGCCGAGGGGCUGGCAGCACACCACCCCCUCUGCUGCUUUCUUUAGAGCUUUAAGUGCGGUUAAAGUCAGCAUGACAAAUGAGGGAGUCCAUUUUGCAGCCUUAAUUAUCUCUCCCAUCGUUAGUGUAUGCCUCUGCGUUUGCACAACCUGGGUUUUGGGGUGUUUUCCAUGAAAAUAAUUUUUUUUCUCCAACUCCAAAGCCAUGUUUUUCAUCCUCCUCACCAGAGUCCGUGGAUAUCCCCAUGCACGAAAGCACCACCCCGCAUAAUUCAGCAGGUCUGGGGGGUUUUAUUCACGUUUUUUUCUUCUCCCCACUUAAAGCAGCACCGGAGGAAAUGUGAUGCCGAGCAGUUGCUCCAGCAAGUAACAAAUCUCCCGUAUUGUUCCCUCUCCUUUAUUUAUCCUGAGCGCACUGUAGCAAGGCAGCCUGAAAAAGUGCGUUGUUUUCAGAGGCAUGCAGCCCUGAAAAUGGAUGUUUGCUUUAAUCAAUCUCGGAGGAGCCCGUGGGGGCCGGCAGAGGUGCGGCGCUGGAGAUUUGUUCUAUUGAUUAACCGAGCGCCGAGAUGGGAGGCAUCAAACACUCCGAGUGGAUAAAAGCCUGCUAGGUGAAUAGGGCUAUUGUCGGGUUUGGUUUGCAGGUUAUUGGGUUUGGGGGAUUUUAUUUUUCUUUUCCUACCUGCGGGGCCGAGAGCGAGCCGAAUAACUUUGCUAAUAUUCCUCCCCGCUUCCCCUUUUCAACUUCCCCGGGAAAGGCACCGCGCCGCAGAGACCCCCCCCUCUGCGUGCCAGCCCGAAGUGAGAUUUCACAUUAUUGCAUCUGACAGCUCUCAUUCCUCAGGCGCUUUCUCUUCCCUUCCUCAGAGAAGGAGUAAAAAAAAAAAAAAAAAAA